AGCUUUGCGCAGUGGCAGUAUCGUAGCCAAUGAGGUUUAUCCGAGGCGCGAUUAUUGCUAAUUGAAAAUAUAUAAAUACAAUAAAUACAAUAUUUAUUUUUAAAUUAAAAAAAAUACCACACUUAUGGGGUGCCUGGGU